rnacentral:lncRNA from 1 species
GAGGAACUGUCACAGUUUGUACUACUAAAAAAAUCUUUAUUUGCACCCUCUUUUGCCAUCAGAUAAGCUACUUUAUUCUCUCUGUAAUUGUGCUUCACCGCCAAGUCUCAUAAUCUUAGGAUGAUUGACCUACAUUCAAAAUAAUUGAGUCAAAGGUAUGAUUACCAAAAUUAAGCAUUCUUGUUACCUCAGUCGAAUCUGCGUUGAUCUCAAGUGGUAUGAAUCCUCU